rnacentral:rRNA from 1 species
UACAGAGGGUGCAAGCGUUGUCCGGAAUCACUGGGCGUAAAGGGCGCGUAGGCGGCCUGAUAAGUCGGGGGUGAAAUUCUGCGGCUUUACCGCAGGACGGCCUUCGAGACUGUCGGGCUUGAGCACGGUAGAGGCUGGUGGAAUUCCCGGUGUAGCGGUGGAAUGCGUAGAGAUCGGGAAGAACAUCGGUGGCGAAGGCGGCCAGCUGGGCCGUUGCUGACGCUGAGGCGCGACAGCGUGGGGAGCAAACAGG